UUUGUAGAUCCAGCUCACUGGCUGCUCUGCAGGAAACCAUCUUCAUCCACUGCAGUACAGAGGUGUGCCAUCCAUCAUCUGGCUCUUGUGAGCAAAGCUGCACCAGGAAACGAAGAGAUGCUCGUAUGAAGGCUGUCUCUGGGGAGCAGACUGUGGUUUCUAGUGGCGCAGUAA